rnacentral:sRNA from 1 species
CUCUUUCUCUCUUUCUCUCUUUCUCUCUUUCUCUCUUUCUCUCUUUCGUUUUUUUGUUUUGUUUGUUUUUGUCAGAAUCUCAUGUGUGGUGAGACCCUGGGACCACAGUGAACACUUUCUGCCCUUGCAAUGCCCUCCAGGCUAAAGAGAAAGGGGAUAAUAUUCAUUGCUCAAGUUAUCCCCGAGAUCAAGGACUAGGCACUGUGGCAGGUGUUCUGAGUCUCAGGAAAGAGCUGAUGCAGACCUGGGAGGAUUGACUGGCAGAGCUGAAGAUCAAGUGCAGGUAUAGGAGCCCUGAAGUAAUAAAUGACAUCACAGCAUCUCUAACAGAUAAAGAGCCUGAGCUGCAGAGUAAAGCGAAAGACCACUAGUAUCUGGGGGCUGUAGAAUCAGACCCCAGAGAGCUUCUAGGGAAAAAGUCAGUCUGUUUAAAUCUGGAGCACUACAGUUGGGGUGGGGGCACUAUGGAAUGAUUUUAAAACUGAAUUUGCUGCUGGAAGGCCUCACACAGCUGGGAGCUAAUAGGGAGCCCUCACAGUAGGCAGCAUAUGAGGCAGGAUUCACUCCUUGGGGAACAGUGUACAUUUGAGUCACGGAAGCAGCACCAGCCUGUCUAAAGCACAGGGACUGAGGAAAGGCCUCCGAAGUGGCAGUGGCGAGCUUAGCAGCAGUACUGGGGAAGUGGAGUAUGAUGGAAACCGCAUUCUCCGUCCUGGUAGGUAAGGCCAGGCCAAGACGGAAGACCUGUCUCCCUUUGGGAAUCAAACACUGGGGUCCAGAGUGGACUUAAGAGGACUAAAACCUACUAUGAGGCUUCAAGGAGCCCUAGGCCUCAGCUAUGCCUUUGUGUGUGUAAGACUGUCCAGAGACCCCCUAGUUCCCUCACCUUAAAAUGAAGGGCAUUAGCAUCAGCCUCAAGGCAGUCGUCACGGUGCGACUUCCUCUGUUGGUGGAAGGAUACUCCGUGGCCCUUACUAGCUCUGUCUCAGAGCACAGCACAAGGGGUACGUGUGAGGGUGCCUUGUUGCAUCUGAUUGAAAAGACCCUUCCAGAGACAAAUCUCUGGGUGGUUCUCGACUCUUCUCUUUCCCUGGGCAGUUGUAGAGAACCCACACUUCAAUGGACGGCCUGCCCAGGUUACCGUUCCCUUGUCCCAUGUAGUGGUGGCAACUUUCCAUAAAAGAGGCGGGGAGGCAGAAGGUUACGGAGCCCUGGGUUUGACUUCCCACCACUUGGCACUUGACCUUGUUCUUCACCAUUCGUGUUCCUUGAGACCUAUUGCCCCACUUAUUAGUCAAGUCUUUAACAUCUCCAGAGCCAUCUCCUAGGAGACAUUGGUGACCUUUAUUCCUGUAACUUCAGUCUUAAGAGACGUUGGCUGAGAGUGCGUCAAGGCCAGGAAGUAUUUAACAAAGGAUUUUACAUUAAAGGAGUGAACGUGAGCUUUACUCUUGGGCGCAGAAGUGCCAAGAAUAGUCAUGUAUGGCCAAAGCAAAUAUGGAAGGGCCCACAAGAGAGGAAAAGAGACAAUGCACUUCAAUGGUUCCCUGGUGCCAUGGUUCCCAUUCCUUAGCUGGGUCAUUGAAGUCCUGCAUGACCCUUGACCAUAGAGGCUAUGUCGCCUGACCAGACACAGAACCUGCCUAACCAGGCCUGGCACAGUACUUGCUGGUCUGUGGCUUUGUGGGUAAAAUAGUUGGUGACUUGGUCGAUUAGUGCUAGGUUCCUGAAGGUGUUAGGAGGCCAGUCUUUCCUAGAAGGAAGGGAAUCCCCUCCACAGACUCCUCUUGGCAGCGUCGCAGUACUAAGGAUUAUUUUGCAAACUAGUAUUCUGAGACAGCAGAUGAGGUGAAAACUCAUAAAAGUACACGGCCUGGCAUCGUUUCUGUAGAGCACGCAAGACAGGCGCCUGUCAGACCAGUUGUGAUGGAGUCUUGGUUACAUCCUUCUCUCUCCCGCCUGUGCCUUCAAGCCCAUGUUUGAAACCUCCCUGCUCUUCCUGUCCUUUCGUACCUGACAGGUGGGUGCGCUGACAGCAGUGUGGAGUAGGGGACUCCCUGUUCUGAGACUGAGGCCUGCACUGGCCAGUCGGUCGCUCCGUGUUUCACCACAGAUUGACAGCAACCCCUGGCACUUGGUUCCUGGACUAUAGACCGUAAGCUGAGUUGGUUGUCGGCAUCCUCCUGCCUUUGCCACCUUCUCUCCCCAGAGAUCGUGAGCAUCUUCACGAGUGUCAAGCUCAUAACUGUCUCCCUUCAGCCCCCUCCACUGCCAUAGACCUGCACCCCUGAAAACGUAUUGCCCAAACAAGAGUCGUGCUCCAGACCCAUGCCCUCCACAGCCCAGGGGCUCACUCGUCUCUGUAAGCCCACUACUUACAGACGGACAGGGCCCUCUAUAGGGGCUGCUUUCAGUGGAUGGCUUUGGGUUUGUUUCUUUAACUAAUCAAAUGUGAAUUGGUUAUUUCCAUACUUGAAGCAAUUCUUGUGGGUGCUCAGUGGUGCCAUUUUUCACAGACAGAAACUAGGGCCCACGGAGACUGAGAACACACCCAGCUAUUGCUGUAAUGACCCUUGUGGCUGUGUCCACUCUUAACAGCCUGGUGAGCAGGUGUGGAACCUCCUCAGCUGAUAACUCUACUAUACCUGUAAACCAGACUUUCUGGCCCCUCAGUGUUUCCCAGGCCCCUGGCUUUCUCUUCAGUUGGAUCCAGUCAUCUCUGGCUACUCAGUUGCACCCAUGUCUCUGAGCAUCCAGCACAACUCCUUAUAACCUGUGGUCUACAUGGCUGCUAUUUGGCUUCCUUACUAACUUAGGGCAUUUUCUGUGGCACUUGGUUCAACUUUUGUCCUUUCACAAGGAUGGCAUGCUCUCUCUCGUGGAGUAACUGGUACUCACCAUCUGACUGGCACUGCCAUGCUCCUUCGUCAGGUGCCAACCAGAGACACUUGUCCUCAAAAGAAAUGGUACAAAAACGUAUCUGGGAUUGGGGUGACAACUCUCACCAUCAUGAGCACCAAGAAGGAAUCACUGUAUCACUUAAGGGAUUUAAUUGUCCCCUUUGGGAUUAGCAUAGUGUUAGAGGCAGAAAGGAGAGUCUGAGGGGAACAAGUAAAGGCGAGCUUGCUCUCCCAGCUUCGAAGGAAGGGAGCUGGGAGGAACUCCUUUUGGACUGUUCUUUUAUAUGGCUCUUACUUGGCAAGUGCUUUUCUAGUCAGAAAACCUGAGCAGUUGUCAGGAGGGCUUCCUGAAACUCUCCAGCACCCUAAGAACAGCACAGUUGUGCCUACUGUACUAAAGGGCUUGCAGAUGUCAAUUGCCCAGGAGACAGAGCAGACCUGGGACUUGCCCUGUUGUCCUCCAGAGCCUUACCUUGACUGCCCUCCUCCAACUACCAGUCCUGAGUAGAAGAGGAGUGUAGAGCUGCCGAGAGAAGCCCUGAGAAGAUUGAGGGGCAGAGGGUUGGGACGCCUGUUCACAGGGAAAGGGCAAAAGCAGAUACCUUUUUAAACAGUCAAGUUGGAAACAAGAACCUACUAGAAAUUUGGAGUGAGGGAAGAAUUAGAUACUUUAAAGUGUCUAAAAAACAAAGAAAUGGCAUCAGGAAGGUGAAGGCCAGCAGUGAGCAAGGACAAGUAAUGGUCCAUGUCUCUGCUGCCUGGGGUGGACUGCACUAUUUAGUCAAGGUUAACCUGGGGCAGAAAGCACGUAGAACCCACCACCCAAACCAAAGAAGCUUAGCACCGCCAGUGACCUCAUCUGUCUGCUGGGAGGCACUAAGUAAAUGUUUGCUGAUAGGAAAUAAACAUCUGAAAUGAGAAAUUACAUCAAACAAAGCAGCCAGGCAUGGAGGCUCAUGCCUGUUAUCCUAGCACGUGGUAGGUACAGAUCGAAGGAGUUCAAGGUCGUCCUUGACUACAUAAGGACUUAGAGGCCACUCUAAGCUACACGAAACCCUGUCUCAAAAAAAUAAAUAGAACAGCCACCAAUUGAAACUGUCAGUGUUAAGGUGAUGAUGACGGACAGGAACCAGGGUCUCAUCCAUCGGCCAGCUGCAUGGGGCUGCCUGGGUGACCUACAGUGGUCAAGACUAGAAAAGCAACCCCUCUUUGAUCACAGUUCUGCCAGGUGUUUGAGGGUUGUAUGCACUUAUGGGUCUGGAGAUCCGCAGAUGCCCUAGAAUGUCUCAAUCAUCCAGAGUUCACAUAGAAGACCUCCAGCAAGAACUGACACAGACAGUCGUCCAUUCUCAUUGUAGCGUCCCUUUCACACAGCACACAGCUUCCUUCCCUGGAUAGAUAAGAUUUACUACCCGAGUCUUACAACCCAUAGCUCCACACAUUUUUUUUCUUUGUUUUGUUUUGAAACUUUAUUUUAAAAUUGUUUUGCCUACAUGUAUGAAAGUGUACCAUGUGGGUACCUGGUGCCCUUAGAGGCCAGAAGACAGCAUUGGAUCCCCCUGGAGCUCCUAUGUGGGUGUCAGGAACUAAAAACCCAGGUCCUCUGCAAAAUCAGCCACUGCUGAAGCAUUGUUCCAGCCCCUGCACCGUUUUGAAUCAAUUAGACAGGCAGAGUCUGCAUCCUGAUUUCCCAGUGAGGAUGCUUCUCUACUGACUUGCUGGGAAUUCUCUCCACUCAUCAGGUCUGCCUCCCAAUCUGUGGGAGGAAGAAGCAGUUAUCGAGAUUAUCCCUGAGUUCCUUUUCAGUGCUAGCCUCACAUCUUCAGACAGCCCACAGCUCUGACAACACUGACCAGGGUGCGGAUCAGGCUGCGUUCGUCAGCUCCACAUCCCGGAGCGUGGAAAGAUCAACGUGACUGCAAGCCCCAAAAGGUGAACUUGCCAGGAAAGGCAGGCUGAGAUGAUUUUGCUGCUUGUGGUGAAAUGUCUCAGCACACAGACAAUUCAGGUAGGUCGUACAGGUGAGGGAGAGGGAGAGGAUGGACUCUUGUGGCCCCUGAGAAAUGUUUCCUUGCAGGAUCGGAUGCCUACAGACUGGUGGAUGCCAAUCGACGGAUCCAUUUGCAUUGGCUAAGUGGGUGAGCCAUCUCUCCACACUCUCACCUUCAAAUGCUGCCACUGUUGCCAGUCAGACGUCCUGUGCAGGCGGCACGUUCCUUGAGGACAACUCCAGGUGUCAUCAUCAACCAGAAACUCGGACCUGGAGCAGGAGAAGCCUUGUCCAAAGCCAAGGUGCAGACUGUUGAUCCACUGUUCACUAGAAGAAAAGCUCCAUUCUAAACUAAGGCAGCUUAGUCAAUAAGCUUGCUAUGCAAGCAUUAGGACCCGUGUUCAAUUCCCAGCCCUGUAUAAAAGAUGAGGAUGGAUAUAGACACCACACACUGGAUAACAGAUUUUAGCUCCAAGGAAAGAGCCCACUUCAGAAAAUAAAGUAGAGAUUGAUGAAGGCAGCUGACUCUAACUGUGGCUUGACAUACACAUGCACAUGUACACACACAAACACAUAAGCAUCUGCUACAUACAUACAUGAACCAGCACAAAGGUGCAGUCAGACUAACAGGAACCAGACCCAAAACUGCUCUGUGACUGGCAUCUAAGGGGAGAUACAGCAGGGCACCUGAGAAGAAGGUGCCCUUGGAAGAGACAACAAAGACACAUACGUUCCAGGACCUGCAAAGUGUUUGCUGCACAGCUCUGAGGUCAGGGCAGAAGUCCCCCGGGUGGGAGACCGUUGACCUCUGAUCUGGCCUUGGGGGGGAGGCUGGAGGGGACACAGAGCCCUGUGCUCAGCAUCAGGACAGGGGAGACUUGGCCAGCCAGGCUCGCAGAGUGGGGACAGACAGCGAGGGACCCCAGAGCAGUGGGAUUAAGUGUUGAGGUGAGGGGAUUAGUUGUUGUGUCGAUGGAAGGAACACAAUUCAAUCUUGUUCCUUCUGCAGGGAACCUGAUCUCCAUGUUCUCAGGGAGCCUCCGUCUGCCCUGCUGGUCCUAGCUGCAGCUCUAAUUAGCUGUGGCUUCGUCUUGCCUGGUGGCUGGGGUCAUGUCUUAGCAUUCUUUGUAGCUCUGGGCACCUAGCAACAGGCAGCGUCGAUGUAGGGGCAGAAUAAUCAUUGUCUGUCUCGACUUCAGUAUCUAAAAUGGAGAUUGAGCUUAAUUUUGUCAACAAGAUUUCUGUUGUGUUCUAUAGGGACUCACAAAUGACAUAGAAGUAGCGGUUGCACUAUCUGGAUCUCAGGAUGCUCCCUGGACUCAGUGUGGGCUCAGCUCCUCACAGUGUAUGCCAUGAGGUCAUGGCCACUGUCUUGUCUGAUCGUGGCAGCCCCUCCCCCUGCAUGCAGUGAGACAGCACUGACCUGUAUCACAGAGAAGGAAACUGAAACCCAGAGAAGCAAAGCAAAAAGACAGUGGUAAGAAGUAGAGAGGAUGUGGGCGAGGCCAUUGUCUUGGUUCUUUGUCCUCUUUUAGGCAGUAUACACUGAAUUCCAGCUCUUUCUUUCACACUUGCACCAGAAGUCAAGGUCAAGUGAGCCAUGGCUUAGCUGCCUGAGCUGGGACCCAUACUGUGCCCUGUGGGACUAGUGUGUCUUCUGCAUGGUAGAGCAGUCAGGCUCCACCUCAGCUACGUGAGAUUCCAUACUAGGAAGUCUCACAGGUUUAUAGAGCGGUAUGAGAAGUAAGGAAUGCUAGAAAGCCCUGACCUCCUUUAAGAGGUGGUUUGUCCAGAGGCUGGAGAUUGUAUGAGAUAGCUCUCAGCUGGACCAGUAGAUACACACACACACACACACACACACACACACACACACACACACACACACACACACACACACACAGGCAUGCUCGUGCACACACACUUAAAAGAGCAGGCCAGGAGUGCCCAGAUGUCUUGAGUGUAGCCCUGAUGGGUAGCAGGCUGCUGAGUUGAGGAACACAGUGCUGAGUCAGUCAGAGACAUUGGAAAGUGGCUCAGAUGUAACUAAGGUGUUGGAGAGAUAAGUAGACCUGGAAGACACCUAAAUCCCAAGCAGAGGCUGAAGAAAGCAUCCUGUCCUGGAGCCAUUGCCACUCAAUAGUGGGGACCCAAAGAAAGUGACUUCCUAGAGACCAUUCGGAGAUGUCAGAGGACCCAAGUCAAGACCAGGAGUUAGAGAUGUCCAAGAAGCUGAUCGAGGUGGCAACAAACAACUUGGAGAGGCUGUUGCCAUAGCAACCAAGAUCCGGCGUCUGGUACCUUCACACUGCUGACCUCUGUCUGUUUUGUGAGCCAAGGCUGUUUUUUAAUGAGCAAAGUUUUGAAUAGCGUCUUAAUACCUGAUACGACAGGUUCCAGACUGGAGGUGCCACUGAGCCCUGUGGCCAACAGGACUCGCCUCAAGUGGCUGUCUGCAUCUCCGUUCACUCCGGUGCUCCACUCGGCUGGCCGCACAUAGCCUUCCUGCCUCCUGUCUUAGCUGUUUCCUGCCGACUGGUGCCUUUAGUGGCUUCCUUGUGCUGGUCCCCAUUUGCUCACAGACAAGGAUUUCUGUAGGACAAGUACUUGGAACUGUUGGGACACAGGGAAGAAACGUCCUGAAUUCAGAUAAAAACGACCACAGUAUUCUGCAAAGUGCCCAGUUCAAUCUCCUGCCAGGAUGUCUCCAAGUUUAAUGUUUUCGCCAACUGGAUGGAUGAAAAUACUGUCUUGGGUUAGUGUACACUGUCUGUAUCCCACCCCAGCCGACACUUUCAUUUAUCCCCGUUCCUAGUUUCCUCUCUGGACUCUGUCCAGGUCCUCCCUGCCUCUCCCCCUCUGCCUGCCUGCCCACCUGCCUCCCUCCCUCCUGUCCAUCUCUUUUCUUCCAUUUUCUGAGACAGGGAGUUAGUAUGUAGCCCUCCUGUCUCCUCGGGCUUCCGGAUCCGGGGACAAUGGCCAUGAUGCCACAUCCUACCCAUUUCUUUCCCUUUUUUUUUCUUUUAAAAAUAUUUUAUCUUUUAUUGAUUUUUAGUUCCUUAUGUAUUUUAUGAAUUUGACAUACUAAUGCUUUGUUGGUGGUGGCAAAUAUUUUUCUGCAUUGUGGGGUUUGACAAUUGAAUUGCUUUUGGAAAAUUUUAAGGUUUUGAUAACAGUUGUCUGUUGGUUUUACUUCUUACACCUUCUUUUGACAAUCUUAAGCCUCCUUAUAUUAAUUUCUUGUAUUUUCUUCUCUGGCAUCUAUAACUUACAUAUAUAUAUAUAUUUAUGUUAUAUGCAGUUUGUAAAUAAAUAAUUAUAUCAUGUAUAAAGAAUAAAUUCCAUAUGUAUAAAUAUUACCAUCUAAUGUCACACACCAUGCCCCCAACACUGUUUUGUGGUGUGUAGACAGUUUGAUCUAAACCUGCUUCCUUUACUUGUCACCAAGCCUGCUGGCCUCAUGCGCUCACUGUCAGGACCCCUGGUCCUGUGUCUUUGUGUGUGCUCCCAGCCUUGGCGCUACGCUUUGCUCAGGGCCGGGCCGGCCGACUUAGCCUCUGCUGUUCUACAGAACUACUCUGCUCAUCCUUACGCAUUAGUCCUACUGCAUGAAUUUUGAAAUUUAUCAACUUUCGAGAGAACUUUCUAUAGGAAAUUUUGUUGGAGUUACGCUGAAUUCACAGAUAAAUCUGAAGGAAGUUGGCCUCUUUUUUCUGUGUGCUCACAGAGCCCUCGCAGCCCAGAGAGCAUCUUGUCUCUCCAGAGAAGAGGCCUGCUUCCUCUGGGUCGGCUGCCUUCUGUUUCUUGGUGGCUUUGUCCCUCAGUCCCCCUACAGGGUUACCAGCAGCUCGGGACGGCUCCCCUCUGCUCCUGUUUGCUUGACCCGUGUUUGCCACACUCCACCCCAACCUUUCACUAAUCUGGGAGCUUGCUCUGCACACACACAAAGUAAACAUUCUUCCUCCCUGGGCACAAACACACAAGCACCGCUAAGCACAGAGCUGGCAUAAUUAGCUGAAAACAAAUUAGAAUCUUUCCAAAUUACACUUUAAUUAAGGAAGCGAAGCGUGAAUACAUUCUCCCUGUUAGAGGUGGAGUGACAUGAGACCAGCUGCUGUCUCCUGUACUGCAGCCCUGCAUCCCAUCUCUCCACAUCUUUGUGGAUCUGCUUCUUGGGCAUGGAGGGCUUUGGAGUUCACCACCCUGAGACUUUGCCCGAGCCUGCAUCUUGACCCCUCUUGUAUGUUCACAGCACAGCCAUGCUGAUCUCGGAAGCUCUUGUUCUCUAACAGAGAAACACCAUUUCCCUCAGCUCUCGGCCUCCACCUCCAGACUCUGCCAUUUUGUCUCUACUCUGUUUUGAGCAGCCUUCUCUCGGCAGUGAUGGAGACGUGGGAUGCCGGGGCUGCAGGUUUUCUGGUUUAGCAGACGUCACCAGUGCCCACCAUGGUUUCUGUACCCAGCAAGUGUCUAGCCAAAGGCUGCAAGACUUUAAUCCCUAAACUAUGAGCAGUUCUCCAUGUUUGCCUACUGGAUGGGUGAAAAAGUUAAAUCCCUUUUUAAAUUUGUAUUUUCCUGUUUGCCAGUGAGGUUUUCAUGUGUACAUUGGGCGUCUGUGUUAAUCCCGCUCCCAACUGUCAGUUUUUCUGAAGCUCUUCAGUUCGUUGACCUGUAGAGUGUCCUGAUGUAGUCCAGAUAGUAAGCUUUUGUGCUUUUGGACAAAUAUUUUUCCGAGCAUGGCUUUUGCUCUCGGCUCAUUGUAGAGUUGUGCAUUAAACAGAAGUUAACCAAUUUUGAUCAAAUGCA